GACGAACGCUGGCGGCGUGCUUAACACAUGCAAGUCGAACGAUGACGACCGAGCUUGCUCGGUCUGAUUAGUGGCGAACGGGUGAGUAACACGUGAGCAACCUGCCCUUCACUCUGGGAUAACCUCGGGAAAUCGGGGCUAAUACCGGAUAUGAGCUCCUGUCGCAUGGCGGGUGUUGGAAAGUUUUUCGGUGAAGGAUGGUCUCGCGGCCUAUCAGUUUGUUGGUGAGGUAGUGGCUCACCAAGGCGAUGACGGGUAGCCGGCCUGAGAGGGCGACCGGCCACACUGGGACUGAGACACGGCCCAGACUCCUACGGGAGGCAGCAGUGGGGAAUAUUGCACAAUGGGCGAAAGCCUGAUGCAGCGACGCCGCGUGAGGGAUGACGGCCUUCGGGUUGUAAACCUCUUUCAGCAGGGAAGAAGCGAAAGUGACGGUACCUGCAGAAGAAGCGCCGGCUAACUACGUG
rnacentral:rRNA from 1 species